rnacentral:rRNA from 1 species
GACGAACGCUGGCGGCGUGCCUAAUACAUGCAAGUUGAGCGAUGAAGAUUGGUGCUUGCACCAAUUUGAAGAGCAGCGAACGGGUGAGUAACGCGUGGGGAAUCUGCCUUUGAGCGGGGGACAACAUUUGGAAACGAAUGCUAAUACCGCAUAACAACUUUAAACAUAAGUUUUAAGUUUGAAAGAUGCAAUUGCAUCACUCAAAGAUGAUCCCGCGUUGUAUUAGCUAGUUGGUGAGGUAAAGGCUCACCAAGGCGAUGAUACAUAGCCGACCUGAGAGGGGGAUCGGCCACAUUGGGACUGAGACACGGCCCAAACUCCUACGGGAGGCAGCAGUAGGGAAUCUUCGGCAAUGGACGAAAGUCUGACCGAGCAACGCCGCGUGAGUGAAGAAGGUUUUCGGAUCGGAAAAAUCUGUUGGUAGAGAAGAACGUUGGUGAGAGUGGAAAGCUCAUCAAGUGACGGUAACUACCCAGAAAGGGACGGCUAACUACGUG